rnacentral:rRNA from 1 species
AGCGAACGCUGGCGGCAGGCCUAACACAUGCAAGUCGAACGAACUCUUCGGAGUUAGUGGCGGACGGGUGAGUAACACGUGGGAACGUGCCUUUAGGUUCGGAAUAACUCAGGGAAACUUGUGCUAAUACCGAAUGUGCCCUUCGGGGGAAAGAUUUAUCGCCUUUAGAGCGGCCCGCGUCUGAUUAGCUAGUUGGUGAGGUAAUGGCUCACCAAGGCGACGAUCAGUAGCUGGUCUGAGAGGAUGACCAGCCACAUUGGGACUGAGACACGGCCCAAACUCCUACGGGAGGCAGCAGUGGGGAAUCUUGCGCAAUGGGCGAAAGCCUGACGCAGCCAUGCCGCGUGUAUGAUGAAGGUCUUAGGAUUGUAAAAUACUUUCACCGGUGAAGAUAAUGACUGUAGCCGGAGAAGAAGCCCCGGCUAACUUCGUGCCAGCAGCCGCAGUAAGAC